rnacentral:rRNA from 1 species
CUACGGAGGGUCCGAGCGUUAAUCGGAAUUACUGGGCGUAAAGCGCGCGUAGGUGGUUCAGUCAGUCAGAUGUGAAAGCCCCGGGCUCAACCUGGGAACUGCACCUGAUACUGCUGAGCUAGAGUACGGUAGAGGGCAGUGGAAUUUCCGGUGUAGCGGUGAAAUGCGUAGAGAUCGGAAGGAACACCAGUGGCGAAGGCGACUGCCUGGACUGAUACGGACACUGAGGUGCGAAAGCGUGGGUAGCAAACAGGAUUAGAUACCCUGGUAGUCCACGCCGUAAACGAUGUCAACUAGCCGUUGGGGGACUUGAUCCUUUAGUGGCGAAGCUAACGCGAUAAGUUGACCGCCUGGGGAGUACGGCCGCAAGGUUAAAACUCAAAUGAAUUGACGGGG